AUUGAACGCUGGCGGCAGGCUUAACACAUGCAGGUCGAGCGGGGGAAGGUAGCUUGCUACUGGACCUAGCGGCGGACGGGUGAGUAAUGCUUAGGAAUCUGCCUAUUAGUGGGGGACAACAUCUCGAAAGGGAUGCUAAUACCGCAUACGUCCUACGGGAGAAAGCAGGGGAUCUUCGGACCUUGCACUAAUAGAUGAGCCUAAGUCGGAUCAGCUAGUUGGUGGGGUAAAGGCCUACUAAGGCGACGAUCUGUAGCGGGUCUGAGAGGAUGAUCCGCCAGACUGGGACUGAGACACGGCCCAGAUUCCUACGGGAGGCAGCAGUGGGGAAUAUUGGACAAUGGGGGGAACCCUGAUCCAGCCAUGCCGCGUGUGUGAAGAAGGCCUUAUGGUUGUAAAGCACUUUAAGCGAGGAGGAGGCUACUCUAGUUAAUACCUAGGGAUAGUGGACGUUACUCGCAGAAUAAGCACCGGCUAACUCUGUGCCAGCCGCCGCGGUAA
rnacentral:rRNA from 1 species